rnacentral:tRNA from 1 species
ACCCUUAGCUCAGUUGGUAGAGCAACUGACUCUUAAUCAGUGGGUCUAGGGUUCGAAUCCCUAAGGGUGUA